rnacentral:lncRNA from 1 species
AACAUUUCACUUCUGUUCUGAACUACUGUAUCUACACACCAUCUAGAAGUUUUUGUUUGUGUUGUCUCUUUCUUCCCGCCUCCUCUUCCACCCUAUCCCAGGACCUGAGCCCUAGGACCAUGCCUCAGGACUACCUGGUAUGAUGACUCCUUGCUGUCCCCAGUCCACCUGGCCGUGCUGCUGCUCCAGUUUCAACUGUUCUGCCUGCGGCUAUGGAACCCUGACCUGUUCACCGGACGUGCUUGUUGCACCCUCGACAACUACUAUGAUUAUUAUUAUUUGACCAUGCUGGUCAUUUAUGAACAUUUUAACAUUUUAACAUUUUGACCAUGUUCUGUUAUAAUAUCCACCCUGCACAGCCAGAAGAGGACUGGCCACCCCUCAUAGCCUGGUUCCUCUCUAGGUUUCUUCCUAGGUUUUUGGCCUUUCUAGGGAGUUUUUCCUAGGGAGUUUUUCCUAGCCACCGUGCUUCUUUCACAUGCUUUGCUUGCUGUUUGGGGUUUUAGGCUGGGUUUCUGUACAGCACUUUGAGAAUAUCAGCUGAUGUACGAAGGGCUAUAUAAAAAUAAAUUUGAUUUGAUUUGAGUUG